UGCUUACACAUGCAAGUCGAACGAUGAUGCCCAGCUUGCUGGGCGGAUUAGUGGCGAACGGGUGAGUAACACGUGAGUAACCUGCCCUUGACUUCGGGAUAACUCCGGGAAACCGGGGCUAAUACCGGAUAUGAGCCGCCUUCGCAUGGGGGUGGUUGGAAAGUUUUUCGGUCAGGGAUGGGCUCGCGGCCUAUCAGCUUGUUGGUGGGGUGAUGGCCUACCAAGGCGACGACGGGUAGCCGGCCUGAGAGGGCGACCGGCCACACUGGGACUGAGACACGGCCCAGACUCCUACGGGAGGCAGCAGUGGGGAAUAUUGCACAAUGGGCGAAAGCCUGAUGCAGCGACGCCGCGUGAGGGAUGAAGGCCUUCGGGUUGUAAACCUCUUUCAGCAGGGAAGAAGCGCAAGUGACGGUACCUGCAGAAGAAGCGCCGGCUAACUACGUGCCAGCAGCCGCGGUAAUACGUAGGGCGCAAGCGUUGUCCGGAAUUAUUGGGCGUAAAGAGCUCGUAGGCGGUUUGUCGCGUCUGGUGUGAAAACUCGAGGCUCAACCUCGAGCUUGCAUCGGGUACGGGCAGACUAGAGUGCGGUAGGGGAGACUGGAAUUCCUGGUGUAGCGGUGGAAUGCGCAGAUAUCAGGAGGAACACCGAUGGCGAAGGCAGGUCUCUGGGCCGCAACUGACGCUGAGGAGCGAAAGCAUGGGGAGCGAACAGGAUUAGAUACCCUGGUAGUCCAUGCCGUAAACGUUGGGCACUAGGUGUGGGGCUCAUUCCACGAGUUCCGUGCCGCAGC
rnacentral:rRNA from 1 species